rnacentral:lncRNA from 1 species
UUCUUCCUCCAAGGAAAAAUCAAUGACCACCCAGCAGAAACCCAGUGACUGAAGCUUCUGUGGCUGUUGAGUUACAGAUGUGUCUGCAUGGAAAACUUUCCCUAAUCCCUUGGUGGAUGCUACACAGAAGCCCAGUUCCCAUCACAGGGGUUUCCUGAGAAGGAAGAACAAACAAAUAGAUAAAAGUGAGUCUCUGGAGGCAUCCGAUUUUCUGGCCCAGAUGCUGAGUGAUCUGGAGAGACGCCGUGCAAUGAAAGUAAAGACUGUGCUGAAGGCUCUGUUUCCCGGAGGAAGCCGUGGUUCUGUUCCAGCCUCUGCUGCAGGAAGGGAGGCCAUGCCAGGCACAGUCACAGGAGGUGAGCGUGCUAGGAAGACUUCUCCAGCAGCUUGGCGUCAUAAAGAUUUGCAGCCUCUGGAGCCUCCUGCAGAUGUGUCUGCAUGGAAAACUUUCCCUAAUCCCUUGGUGGAUGCUACACAGAAGCCCAGUUCCCAUCACAGGGGUUUCCUGAGAAGGAAGAACAAACAAAUAGAUAAAAGUGAGUCUCUGGAGGCAUCCGAUUUUCUGGCCCAGAUGCUGAGUGAUCUGGAGAGACGCCGUGAUAUGGAAGGAGAGGCUGUGAUGAUGCCUCCGAUUCCCAGCAGAAGCAGUGUCUCUGUUCCAGCCUCUGCUGCAGGAAGGGAGGAGAUGCCAGGCACAGUCACAGGAGAUUUGGAUCGUGACUUGGACUAUUUAGAGUUCCUGGUGAAUGACAUUUCGAAGAUCUUGGACAAGGCUCGAGGCAAGUACUGAAUUUCCCUUGUUACUGACAGAAUAAUGCCAAGCUGGCAAAAGCUCACUCAUGAAGUUCUCGUUUAUGCCAAGUCAAGGUUGAUGGAUUCUAGAAACCUUGCCCUACUCCAUUCUGGAGCCUCCCCCCCCCCCCCCCCCCCCCCCCCCCCCCCCCCCCCCCCCCCCCCCCCCCCCCCCCCCCCCCCCCCCC